UUGUUCUCCUGGAGUCUGCACCCCUCACAGGAGCCCGGGAAUGCUCGGACUUGCUCAGCCCGGCCCCGUGUGCAGAGAGCUUCCCAGCUCACAGCCUGGAGCCAGCUGUCCCCGAGAAGGAAGUAGGGCUGCUCAGCUGAGUCCAGUCUAGAUCAGCCAAACUGGUUCACAGCUACAGGAGGAAGAGAACCAAUGCUUGUUCUUGUAAACUGCUGAGUUUGGGGGUGUUUAGUUACAUAGCGUUAUCGUGGGAGCAGCUGACAAGUGGGAGCAGCUGAGCAACCAGGGAAUAAUCACCUUUUUCCUGCCAUUGAGAUUCUGUAGUGUCAUAAAGAUAUUCAUCAGGUGUAAUCUUGAGCUGAGAAAGUUGUAGGGCACGUGUAGAAGGCAGUGUGGUGGUAUUAGCACCAGGUGAAUAGCCUCGGAAAGGCACUGAAUGUUCACGGGCACGUGUGAGAACUUUGUCUCAUGGGUUCGUAGGGAAGCAAGUUAAAGGUGACACCGAAUUCUUCCCCAGCGGUGUUCCUCUGCCCUAAGACCGACUCGAGCUUAGCCGUGUGAACUCCCCCUGUCAGUGGUCCCUGGGGGAACCUCUGGGAAAGACUAUCCACCUGGGAAAAAGAGAUGGACAAGAAGAACUGCCUUCUUCAUUUGCAGUCUUCCCCCACCACAAGGGAACAACUUCGACAGCUAAGCAAAGCAUUGAAAAAUGAAGAAGGUGAUGAAUCCGUGGUUGGGAGAAAUAAGGCAAGAGAUGGCAUUGGGUUGAGCCAAGGAGAUCCGGAAUCGGGCUGCCUUGAGUGGAGAAGGUUUGAAAAUUUCCAAAAUACCACAUUCAUGGUCUUACCCAGCGUGAGAUAGCUGAGGCCAGGCGGUUCCAGUGACUUACCCAGACGCAGUGUCAGCGGCCCGUCGAGGCUGCUCGGGGGGCCCUGAUGGGUGUCGGGCUCCGUGCCGGGACCCCCUGGGGGAGAGUAGCAAUGAAUCGGGUCGUGUCUGCUGAGCGGCCCCUCCUGUGACGGCGGCCUCGCCGGUGCCCACAUCAGAGGGCUCGGACAGAAAGAAAAGCGCCCGAAUGAGCCGUCCUGGGCGGGCCCGUCCUGGCCUUGACAGCCCCGGCUGCUGCAGGUGCCCGAUGGGGGCCAGGGUGUCCCUGGGGGCGGUGGCUAGGGCACAGGCCUCAGGUGUCCCGGGGACGGGCCUCGGGUGUCCCGGGGACGGGCCUUGGGUGUCCCGGGAGGCCUCCAGGCGGGCCAAGCGGGACACACAGGGAGGGAGGUCAGUAAGGCCAGCCGCCCAGGCCGCAGAUGCGCUGCUCGGGGACAUACACCGACAGCCCUUCUGCGGUGGAGACUCGAGGAAAAGAAGUGUCAAGGGGGGGUGUUGGGGCCUCGGCCUGGGAAACAAGUCACUCCGACCGCGGUUGUGUGGGCGCCACGAGGACCAGGGAGGGGAGGGAAGACGGUAAGCCAAGCAGGGGGGGAACGAUGGGGGCUUCCCUCCCUGCUCACCCAUCCUAAAUAAAGGCUCCGCGGGACCUGAUGCAACCUAGAAAAUGCCACUGGUUGGGUCCCCGCUGAUUCACGGGGAGCCGCUGGCUGGCCCGGCUGCAGGGCGCCCCCUGGUCCUCCAGUUCGCUGCGGCCCACCUCGUGCACUUGCACCCCUGCCCCUGGGCCGCCCUUGCCCUGAGCGCCCUCCAUGGGCCCCACAGGACCCCUGGGCCCAGCUCAUGUCCCCGAGUGCCGCACGGUCCGGGGAGGCCACUCAGGGUCCACCUGCAGAUGCACCUGCACACAGUCCCUGGCGCAGGACGCCUUCAAAGCGGCCCGUUGACAUGAGAGGCGUCGGCUCCUGCCACCCUGGGACCCCGUGCUCACCGACGCUGACCCCGCUUUCUCCUCUCAACCCUCCGCCUGGGCGCCGCAUCCCACUUUCUGUCUCUAGGAGUCGGCCUACCUGGGGACCUCCCAGAGGCACGAUUAUACAGCAUUUCGUCAUUUUGUGUUGCCCACCAUUGUGCCCUCACCUGGGCCCCGAGCCCCACUCACUCCAGGCUCUGUGAUGGGAGGGCAGUAUCUGUUGCCCAAAGUAAUUUGUCAUUUUUUUUAAACUGAAAAAAAAUUAAAUUGUGUGUAUAUUUAAUUCAGAAAGGGUGAUAAAGGUAUAUAUGUAUGUGCAUCACAGAAACACAGCAGGACUCCAUGCAGAAAUCCUGCAUUUCAUUUUUUAAAAGAUUUAUUUUUUAGGUUUAUUUGGUAGAGAGCACAAGCGGGGGAGCCGCAGGCAGAGGGAGAGGCUCCCCACUAAUCUGGGAGCCCCUGGACCUGGGGCUGGAUCCCAGGACCCUGAGAUCGUGACCCGAGCUGAAGGCAGAUGCUUAGCCGACAUGGGCCGUCCAGGCGCCCGCGUUUCAUCUUUUUGGAAAAAAAACAAAAAAAACAAAAUAAAACAAAACAACCUUUAUUGAA